AUGGCCGGCAGCGGCGCUUCUCCUUCUCCGGCGGCCGCCCCCACCUCGGACCUACAGUUCCGCUGCCCCGGCUGCCGCGGCCUUCACACCGUGCCCCCCGGCAUAACCGAGUUCAUCUGCCCCAGGUGCCGCAUGGGGCAGCGCCUCCCCCGAGCUCAUAUCCCCCGCCCCGCCAAGGCAUCCCCUGCUCCGCCUCCGCCUCCCACUCCUCCUCCUGAUGCUCCUCGGCCUCAGCCUCAGCCCACGCACCCCCCUCCUCCUCCCCCCUCCGCUUCCCUGCGCUCCGGCCCGCGAGCGCAGGACGUUGACCGCACAAAGAUCCAGCUCCCCUGCCCGUGCUGCAAGGCCAUCCUCAACGUGCCGCACGACCUCGCCGGCUUCCGCUGCCCGCACUGCAACGUCGACAUCCCCAAGAUCCAGCAUUCCCUUGCCCCUGCCACCCCUGGAUUCGUCCCUCCACCUCCGCCGGCGCCUCCAGUUCAGAUGCCGCACAUGCCGUUCCUGCCGAUGGCCCCGCCGUCCGAACCACCUGAGGAUAUCAAUGAGAUGUUUCUGCAGCUAUCCCUUGGUCUUCCUCAUCCGGAUCCAGCGGUAGAGACUCCAUCUUUGUCAGUGGUGCAACCUCGUGAACCUACUUACAGUUUGACGAUUAUGGAUGAAUUUACAAAGGCAUUGUGUCGCUCACAAAUUGGAGCAACAGUGUAUGCUUGUCAGACGGGAUCCAAACCACCCCUGCCAUUUCAGUAUUUGAAAGACAUCACAAGCAACUUUAGUAAUGAUCGAAUACUUGGCAAAGGUGGUUUUGGUGUGGUAUAUAAGGGUCUGCUGGAAAAUGGGGAAAUAAUUGCAGUGAAGAAACUUUUACAUACAUUGCCGGACUCAGAGACACAAUUUGAGAACGAGGUUAAUCUUCUAAUGAAACUAGACCACCAAAAUAUUGUGCGACUACUAGGCUACUGCUAUGAAACACGUCGUGUACAUACGCCUCAUGAAGGAGAUUUCGUUUUUGUUUGGAACACUGAAAGUUUGCUUUGCUUGGAAUGUUUGCCUAAAGGAAGUCUUAACAGUUACAUUUCAGAUGCAUCUUCUGGACUUGAUUGGCACACAUGCUGCAAAAUAAUUGAGGGGAUUUCCUUUGGUCUACAGUACCUUCACGAGCACCCUAAUGUGCCCAUUAUUCACCUGGACCUAAAACCUGCGAACAUAUUGCUUGAUGGAAAUAUGGUGCCGAAAAUUACAGACUUUGGUCUGUCAAGAUUGUUUGAUCAAAGUCGAACUAUGCAUACCAAAAAUAACAUUGGGACAAGAGGUUACAUGCCACCAGAGUAUGUUGACAGAGGUAUAAUCACACCUAUGUCAGACAUAUUCAGUUUGGGUGUAAUAAUCAUGGAGGUAAUAACAGGACACAGGGACUACCCAUAUGAUAUUAAAAAAAGUUCGGAGGACUUCAUCGAGCGUGAACUUUUAAAAUGGAGAAAUAGGCUGCAAGAAGAACCAGAGUGUACAUCGCUAGAAACAGAUUGCCAACAAAUACAAAGAUGCCUUCAGAUAGGUCUAAUCUGUGUGAAUCCUGAGCGGAUCAAAAGGCCUACAAUGAAUAAAGUUGUCGAUAUGCUUCAAGGGUUGGAAAGUAUGAACUGGUACAUUAGCAACGAAUUAACAUUGCCUAAAGACCAUGUUUGA
rnacentral:rRNA from 1 species